ACGCUCGACACCUACGUGAGGCAGCAGUCGGGAAUAUUGCGCAAUGGAGGAAACUCUGACGCAGUGACGCCGCGUAUAGGAAGAAGGUUUUCGGAUUGUAAACUAUUGUCGUUAGGGAAGAGAAAGGACAGUACCUAAGGAGGAAGCUCCGGCUAACUACGUGCUAGCAGCCGCGGUAAUCUGAGGCGGGCUGGCAAGGC
rnacentral:rRNA from 1 species